CUGAGAAACCUCACUCUCCCAAAGGCACCGGAUCCCAUUUGAUCUUGGAAGCUAAGCAGGGUUGGUUCGGGUUUGUUCUUGGAUGGGAGGUCACCGACAAAACACAGGUGUUGCGUGCU
rnacentral:rRNA from 1 species